rnacentral:rRNA from 1 species
GAUCCUGGCUCAGGAUGAACGCUAGCUACAGGCUUAACACAUGCAAGUCGAGGGGCAGCAUGAACUUAGCUUGCUAAGUUUGAUGGCGACCGGCGCACGGGUGAGUAACACGUAUCCAACCUGCCGAUGACUCGGGAUAGCCUUUACGAAAGAAAGAUUAAUACCCGAUGGCAUAGUUCUUCCGCAUGGUAGAACUAUUAAAGGAUUUCGGUCAUCGAUGGGGAUGCGUUCCAUUUAGGG